rnacentral:rRNA from 1 species
CAGCCGCCGCGGGAAUACGGAGGGUGCAAGCGUUAAUCGGAAUUACUGGGCGUAAAGCGCACGCAGGCGGUUUGUUAAGUCAGAUGUGAAAUCCCCGAGCUUAACUUGGGAACUGCAUUUGAAACUGGCAAGCUAGAGUCUUGUAGAGGGGGGUAGAAUUCCAGGUGUAGCGGUGAAAUGCGUAGAGAUCUGGAGGAAUACCGGUGGCGAAGGCGGCCCCCUGGACAAAGACUGACGCUCAGGUGCGAAAGCGUGGGGAGCAAACAGGAUUAGAUACCCGUGUAGUCCCUGUCUCUUAUAC